rnacentral:rRNA from 1 species
CUACGGGGCGCAGCAGUGAGGAAUAUUGCACAAUGGGGGGAACCCUGAUGCAGCAACGCCGCGUGGAGGAUGACGCAUUUCGGUGUGUAAACUCCUUUUAUAUGUCAAGAAAAUGACGGUAGCAUAUGAAUAAGCACCGGCUAACUCCGUGCCAGCAGCCGCGGUAAUACGGAGGGUGUAAGCGUUACUCGGAAUCACUGGGCGUAAAGGACGCGUAGGCGGGUUGGAAAGUCAGGUGUGAAAUCCUACAGCUUAACUGUAGAACUGCACUUGAAACUUCUAAUCUAGAGUAUGGGAGGGGGAGAUGGAAUUAGUGGUGUAGAGGUAAAAUCCGUAGAUAUCACUAGGAAUACCUAAAGCGAAGGCGAUCUCCUGGAACAUUACUGACGCUAAGGCGUGAAAGCGUGGGGAGCAAACAGGAUUAGAUACCCCUGUAGUC